AGUAACAGAAAGAGGGGCGGAGGAGGCGAGAGGAAGGGGUUGCAACUCUUCCCCUCUUUGUACUUUACAUUUCCUUAACUAAGGAGAAAAGGGAGAAGAACGGUAAAGAGCAACCUGAAAGGAGAACUCAUUAGAGGGUGACACAGCUAAUGGAAAUUACUCACACUAUGAAAGGUAGAAGGUAUAUUGAGAUUAUAUUUGCAGCAAUCCGAAAUUUCAUAAAAAGGAAAAACUUCUACUAGCCUCUCUCUUCCCGAUGAAUCUGCACUGAAGAAAGCCCAGCUGAGGACACAGCAAGGAGACAGCCAUCUGCAAGCCCGAAAGAGUCCUCACCAGAAAUUGAGCCCUGUUGGACCUUGACCUUGGACUUCCAUCUUUCAGAACUGUGAGAAAAUUAA